ensembl:lncRNA
CUCACAGGGCAAGUUGUGUUACCUCUCUGGGCUUCAUUUUACACAUUUCUAAAAGAAGAGUGUUGAACUUGGUCAUUUUUGUUAUGCAUUCCAGCCUCCAAAAUUCGUGUCAUUUGUCUUUGGGGGAAGAGAUGGGGAUGAGAAAAAAACUCACAACAACUACAGGAGGCAUUGAUGAAAAUCUUUCCCCCUCCCCAUAGUAGGCAGAAUAAUGGUCCUGCCAAGAUGCCCGCAUCCUAAUCCCAGAAUCUGUGAAUAUGUUGCAUGGCAAGGCGGACUUAUUGUUUCAGAUGGAAUGAAGGUUGCCAACCGGCUGACUUAAAAUAAGUAGAUUAUUCGAGUGGGCCCGUUGGAAUCUUAAGAGGCCUUUAAAAGUGGAAGAGGCAGGUGGAGGAGUUGCUGUCAGAUGACGCAGAGUCAGAAAUAGUACCCCUAUUGUGGACUUUGAACAUGGAAGGGGGCCACAAGCCGAGGAAUGCAGUCAGCUUCUAGAAACCCGACAAGGCAAGGAAACAGAUCAUCCCCCAGAGCAUCCAAAAGGAACCAGCCCUGCUAACACCUUGAUUUGAGCCCAGUGAGACCCGUUGUGGACUUCUGACCACUAGAACUGUAAGAUAAUAAAUUUGUAUUUUUUUAAGCCACCAGGCUUGUGGUAAUUUGUUACAACAGUAAUAGAAAACUAAUACACCUCCUUCCCAAUGAAAAAGAUGUUUAAUAAAAGGAAAAACUAUAAACUUUUCUGGUAAAGUAAUAUGCCAAGAAAAUAAAUCCACGUGGCAUGUAUGACCUAGCAGCAGUCACUUUAGGGACCGUCUAAAAUCAUUAUUUAUUAAAAAGAAAGCAGAAUAAAUAAGCCACUUAUAUACUUUAUGAAGCACUCACUUUCAUCUUUCUGGUCUCAGAAGAUGUAUUUGUUGGAGCAUAAUAAAUUAUUACAGUGUAGCAUUACUGACAUAUAUUUUGUUGUUGUUGUCUAGCAGUUUUGAAAAUGAUUCCUACUAAUAACCAAUCCUGGCUGUGGAGACAAGUGACUCAGGAACUCUAAAGACUGAAAAAUGGCCUGCGUGAACGAGCAAUAGCGAGAGGGCAGGCAGAAGGGGAGAGAGGGAACAGGAGACAGAGGUGCACAGAGAGAAAGGCGGAGAACACAGAAAUAAGCCUGAGAGCAGGAAGAGGAAAAGCACAUCUGUCCACACGAUAUAGCAGCCAAGUGAUGCUUAUGUCCAAGCGACAUGGCCAGGAAGGCCCAGGGGUCAGCCUGCUGGUCGUCAUUGCCGACACCUUUGUCUGAGACAAGGUGCCCAAAAGAGGAACCGGAUAAAUGGCACAAUAUCCCAGCACAGGGGGUUUGGGCAUUGUGGGGACCAGACUUUUCAACUCAGAUCAAAGAGGGAAUCUCAGAACGGAAACCAGAUUUCAAAGGAUGUCACCAGAGCUCUGCAGAUAGGCCAGCUCCAUUCCCUUAUUCUCACAGUCUCACCCCGGCUUUCCCUCCUCCGGCUGUGAUCCUCCAACAUCGAGGUGUGUGUUCCCCCCAGGGGCUCAAGUGCAUUUUUCUGCUUGUGAGAAAUGGCAACACUUUGCCCCAAGGGGCUAGCACUCUGGCACAAAAGCUUGGAGUACUGGAGAGGGGGCUCCAGUGCUUUUUGCUCCUCUCUUUUCUCCACCUCCUGCUUCCUUCCCCACUUAGCAGCCCUCUACUCCAAGAAGACAGAGCAACCAAAAAUAACUAGUGCACUUACUCUCAAUCUGCUGAACAUUAAUUAAUCACCACCACCACCACCACCCCCCGCCCCCCAGGCUGGAGAAGCUUCAUCCAGAUUGUUCCUGGACUGUCUUGUGACACAGAUGGGCACAGAGACAAUUCUUGAGCGGCCCCACCCCUCCAUUAUCACAGAUGUCUUUUUAGAUGGGUGGUCAUCAAUCACAGAGCACUCCUCGGCAUCUCUGAGCAGGCAGUCUCAACCCAGGAAUGCUAAAGAGAGACAACUGCCUGUUUUCACGUCUGGCUUUACUUUAAAUGCUUGUGGUUAUAAAGGAACAAGCAUAGUGAACACACGGCUCAUCCCAUCAUUCUCUUUCUGACGGUGACAUCGAGG